rnacentral:tRNA from 2 species
GCCCUAGUAGCUCAGUGGAUAGAGCACGGCUCUCCUAAAGCCGGUGUCGGAGGUUCAAUUCCUCUCUGGGGCA